rnacentral:RNase_P_RNA from 1 species
GCAGGGGCCCAGGCGGUCGCCGGUGGCGCGCGAGCCGUGAGGCUCGUUCGUCGCGGGAGGAACGUCCGAGCUCCACAGGGUGAGGUGCCGGGUAACGCCCGGUGCAGGUGACUGCGAGGAGAGUGCCACAGAGAACAGACCGCCGGGCUCGUCGUUCGCGGCGCGCCCGGUAAGGGUGAAACGGCGGGGUAAGAGCCCACCGCGUCGUCGGCAACGACGAUGGCAGGGAAAACCCCACCUGGAGCAAGGCCACAUAGGGAGGCGACGGCGUCGAGAGGCGUCGGAAGGGCGACCCGCCCGGUGCCUCCGGGUAGGCUGCACGAGACCCGUGGCGACGCGGGUCCUAGAGGAAUGAUCGUCACCGCGGCGAGGGCGACCGAGCCGCGGAACAGAACUCGGCGUACGGGCGCCUGCGACC